AUUGAACGCUGGCGGCAGGCCUAACACAUGCAAGUCGAGCGGAGCGGCGGACGGGUGAGUGAUGCCUAGGAAUCUGCCUGGGAGUGGGGGAUAACGAUCGGAAAUGGGCGCUAAUAUCGAUUACUAUCAGAUGAGCCUAGGUCGGAUUAGCUAGAUGGUGGGGUAAAGGCCUACCAAGGCGACGAUCCGUAACUGGUCCGAGAGGAUGAUCAGUCACACUGGAACUGAGACACGGUCCAGACUCCUACGGGAGGCAGCAGUGGGGAAUAUUGGACAAUGGGCGAAAGCCUGAUCCAGCCAUGCCGCGUGUGUGAAGAAGGUCUUCGGAUUGUAAAGCACUUUAAGUUGGGAGGCGUUACCAACAGAAGAAGCACCGGCUAACUCCGUGCCAGCAGCCGCGGUAAUUC
rnacentral:rRNA from 1 species